GAUGAACGCUGGCGGCGUGCCUAAUACAUGCAAGUCGAGCGAACAGACGAGGAGCUUGCUCCUCUGACGUUAGCGGCGGACGGGUGAGUAACACGUGGAUAACCUACCUAUAAGACUGGGAUAACUUCGGGAAACCGGAGCUAAUACCGGAUAAUAUAUUGAACCGCAUGGUUCAAUAGUGAAAGACGGUUUUGCUGUCACUUAUAGAUGGAUCCGCGCCGCAUUAGCUAGUUGGUAAGGUAACGGCUUACCAAGGCGACGAUGCGUAGCCGACCUGAGAGGGUGAUCGGCCACACUGGAACUGAGACACGGUCGAGACUCCUACGGGAGGCAGCAGUAGGGAAUCUUCCGCAAUGGGCGAGAGCCUGACGGAGCAACGCCGCGUGAGUGAUGAAGGUCUUCGGAUCGUAAAACUCUGUUAUUAGGGAAGAACAAAUGUGUAAGUAACUAUGCACGUCUUGACGGUACCUAAUCAGAAAGCCACGGCUAACUACGUG
rnacentral:rRNA from 1 species